AGCAGCCGCGGUAAUUCCAGCUCCAAUAGCGUAUAUUAAAGUUGUUGCAGUUAAAAAGCUCGUAGUUGAAUUUCGGGAUCAUCAGGUUGGUCGUGCCUCUGGUAUGUACUUUCCUCGAUGGUUCCUCCUUCUUGAAGAACCGUAAUGCCAUUAAUUUGGUGUUGCGGGGAGACAGUACUGUUACUUUGAAAAAAUUAGAGUGUUUAAAGCAGGCUCGCGCUUGAAUACAUUAGCAUGGAAUAAUGAAAUAGGACGUUUGAUCUUAUUUUGUUGGUUUCUAGGAUCGACGUAAUGAUUAAUAGGGAUAGUUGGGGGCAUUAGUAUUCAAUUGUCAGAGGUGAAAUUCUUGGAUUUAU
rnacentral:rRNA from 1 species